AGUUUUCAUGCUUAAUUUUGCUGGUCAUGCAUAAUUAGUAUUUCUCCUUCCCUAGUUACUUAGCAUUUAAAACAAUGCUCCAAAUGUACAAAUAUUCCCAUUAUACCUGCACAAGAUUAUAUGCAGCUCCAAAAAGUGAUGAAGGUUACUCUGAAGCUUGCUGUUAGUCUGUGAAACCUAAAGUUGAAAUAACUUAGUAUUUCCCUAAACUGUGUGCAGCUGAAUCAGGAGCUGCAUCUACUGUUCUCAAGAUAGGUAGUUACACCAGAUUCAGGAUUGUUCCUCAUGUUCUCCCAUUGCUGUUAAUUGGGUAUGGGCUCUAGUAAUUUGGAAUUACAUAAUUCAUUCUUCUGUUUUGGUUUCCAGAUUAGAAGUUUGGGUUUCCUGACUAUAGUUUGCCUUCUGCAUGUCUCUCACGUGCAUACUGUGUGUCAUAAUGCCCUUUCAGGGAAAAUAAAUUUGUUGCUUGCCAGUCUUUAAGGUACCUUGGGAAUUCAAUGUCAUAAAGGCUUGGGAACCCAAAUCGUAUUCUAUGCUCAGUUCCAGAUGGACUCUGUGGAAGUCAGCCAGCACAGUCUGUCUCAGCUAACCAGUCCUGUGAAAGCUGGCUGCUUUCUCUGAACUGUUUUGGUUUGAGGCAACAGUGAAUGCAGCAGAGAGCUCAGGCAUGGAAGAUAUAACUCAUAUCAACUAAUUAACAAGUGAACCAAGGAGUCUGAAUGAGUUUGUUAUGCCUAGCUACAGUACAUAAUUUUUUAAGAUUCUCAAUGUAUUUCUUAAACGCAAAGGAAGUUAUGCAUAGCAUUUAAAACACCUAAUCCAAUGUAGCUUAUAUGUUUUACAGUCACAUUAGGUAAGAGGUCAUCUCAACAUCUGUACUAACAGUCAAAGCAAGGAUGUUGGGAUUGGUUAACAUAUAACAAGUUUCAUUUGGGAGUUCCAGUGCUGAGUUUCUAGAUUGCCUGACUUUUGUACCAUGCAGAGCUUGAGCAUAAGCUGAACAAAAUUACUAAGUGAAUAGACACUACCUCUAGUAAUUUGGUCUCACAGUUUUUGUGUGUGCAUUGUAACUGUUUUCUUAGUCCUCAUCUUGUUGAUUUGUAGCUAAGCUCAAUUAGAUUUCAUGUAGAGGAUACAUUGUUUAGAGAGAGUACGUACUAGCAACACAACAAAUAAAAUUUUCACUGGAGUGGCAUUCUGUUGGCUUUCAUUUGAUUGGAGAUGUUCACAGAGCUAGUAGCUUUCUAAAGUUUAUUUCCUGUUGGUUACAGUUAAAUUAAACUGAUCUUAUUUAAUUCUUAAAUAAAAGAAAGAUCCCUGAAAAAACUGCUGUUUCAAGUAUUUACUGCCCAUUUCUUGCUGUAGUGAUAUAU